AGGCACGUAGCUCAGUUGGUUAGAGCACCACUCUUGACAUGGUGGGGGUCGUUGGUUCGAGUCCAAUCGCGCCUACCA
rnacentral:tRNA from 1 species